AACGCACCUUGCGCUCCUUGGUAUUCCGAGGAGCAUGCCUGUUUGAGUGUCAUGAAACUCUCACCCUCUAGCUUUCUUAAUCGUGGCUAGCGGCGUGGACGUGAGCGCUGCUGCUUUGUUGCGGCUCGCUCGAAAUGUAUCAGCAGACCCUUUUCGUAAUCGGUUCCACUCAACGUGAUAAGUAUUUCGUUGAGGACAGUUGCAGCAAUGCGGCUGGCCGGGGUAAGAAAGGCAUAGUUGACAGCUUCUAAUCGCCCGCGGGCAAUUUUUUAUGAUCUGGCCUCAAAUCAGGUAGGACUACCCGCUGAACUUAA
rnacentral:misc_RNA from 1 species